rnacentral:rRNA from 1 species
GAACCUGAAACCGUGUACGUACAAGCAGUGGGAGCACGCUUAGGCGUGUGACUGCGUACCUUUUGUAUAAUGGGUCAGCGACUUAUAUUCUGUAGCAAGGUUAACCGAAUAGGGGAGCCGAAGGGAAACCGAGUCUUAACUGGGCGUUAAGUUGCAGGGUAUAGACCCGAAACCCGGUGAUCUAGCCAUGGGCAGGUUGAAGGUUGGGUAACACUAACUGGAGGACCGAACCGACUAAUGUUGAAAAAUUAGCGGAUGACUUGUGGCUGGGGGUGAAAGGCCAAUCAAACCGGGAGAUAGCUGGUUCUCCCCGAAAGCUAUUUAGGUAGCGCCUCGUGAAUUCAUCUCCGGGGGUAGAGCACUGUUUCGGCAAGGGGGUCAUCCCGACUUACCAACCCGAUGCAAACUGCGAAUACCGGAGAAUGUUAUCACGGGAGACACACGGCGGGUGCUAACGUCCGUCGUGAAGAGGGAAACAACCCAGACCGCCAGCUAAGGUCCCAAAGUCAUGGUUAAGUGGGAAACGAUGUGGGAAGGCCCAGACAGCCAGGAUGUUGGCUUAGAAGCAGCCAUCAUUUAAAGAAAGCGUAAUAGCUCACUGGUCGAGUCGGCCUGCGCGGAAGAUGUAACGGGGCUAAACCAUGCACCGAAGCUGCGGCAGCGACGCUUAUGCGUUGUUGGGUAGGGGAGCGUUCUGUAAGCCUGUGAAGGUGUGCUGUGAGGCAUGCUGGAGGUAUCAGAAGUGCGAAUGCUGACAUAAGUAACGAUAAAGCGGGUGAAAAGCCCGCUCGCCGGAAGACCAAGGGUUCCUGUCCAACGUUAAUCGGGGCAGGGUGAGUCGACCCCUAAGGCGAGGCCGAAAGGCGUAGUCGAUGGGAAACAGGUUAAUAUUCCUGUACUUGGUGUUACUGCGAAGGGGGGACGGAGAAGGCUAUGUUGGCCGGGCGACGGUUGUCCCGGUUUAAGCGUGUAGGCUGGUUUUCCAGGCAAAUCCGGAAAAUCAAGGCUGAGGCGUGAUGACGAGGCACUACGGUGCUGAAGCAACAAAUGCCCUGCUUCCAGGAAAAGCCUCUAAGCAUCAGGUAACAUCAAAUCGUACCCCAAACCGACACAGGUGGUCAGGUAGAGAAUACCAAGGCGCUUGAGAGAACUCGGGUGAAGGAACUAGGCAAAAUGGUGCCGUAACUUCGGGAGAAGGCACGCUGAUAUGUAGGUGAAGUCCCUUGCGGAUGGAGCUGAAAUCAGUCGAAGAUACCAGCUGGCUGCAACUGUUUAUUAAAAACACAGCACUGUGCAAACACGAAAGUGGACGUAUACGGUGUGACGCCUGCCCGGUGCCGGAAGGUUAAUUGAUGGGGUUAGCGGUAACGCGAAGCUCUUGAUCGAAGCCCCGGUAAACGGCGGCCGUAACUAUAACGGUCCUAAGGUAGCGAAAUUCCUUGUCGGGUAAGUUCCGACCUGCACGAAUGGCGUAAUGAUGGCCAGGCUGUCUCCACCCGAGACUCAGUGAAAUUGAACUCGCUGUGAAGAUGCAGUGUACCCGCGGCAAGACGGAAAGACCCCGUGAACCUUUACUAUAGCUUGACACUGAACAUUGAGCCUUGAUGUGUAGGAUAGGUGGGAGGCUUUGAAGUGUGGACGCCAGUCUGCAUGGAGCCGACCUUGAAAUACCACCCUUUAAUGUUU